rnacentral:rRNA from 1 species
CCUACGGGUGGCAGCAGUGAGGAAUAUUGGUCAAUGGGCGAGAGCCUGAACCAGCGAAGUCGCGUGAAGGAUGACGGCCCUACGGGUUGUAAACUUCUUUUGUCAGGGAGCAAUUGAGUCCUCGUUUGGUCUUAGCGAGAGUCCCUGAAGAAAACGCAUCCGCUAACUCCGUGCCAGCAGCCGCGGUAAUCCGGAGGAUGCGAGCGUUAUCCGGAUUUAUUUGGUUUAAAGGGUGCGUAGGCGGAAUAUCAAGUCAGCGGUAAAAAUUCGGGGCUCAACCCCGUCGUGCCGUUGAAACUGAUGUUCUUGAGUGGGCGAGAAGUAUGCGGAAGGCGUGGUGUAGCGGUGAAAUGCAUAGAUAUCACGAAGAACUCCGAUUGCGAAGGCAGCAUACCGGCGCCCAACUGACGCUGAAGCACGAAAGCGUGGGUAUCGAACAGGAUUAGAUACCCUAGUAGUC